AUAAAUUUAUAACCAGAAUAAAUAUGGCUGACGAUCAGUCUUAAAUUCUGAGAAUUAAUAUUGAAAUAUAUAGUAUUAUCGUUCAGUAAACUUAACACGAGUGGAUUCGUAUAUAGGUCUGAAUAUACUUCAUAAUAUAUAUAAACGCAAUGGAUUCAACGUCGUCAGUAGAGAAUUCAGUAGAUAUAAGCAAAAAGCCUCCCAAAGAUGAUGACAUAAAGAAAAAGCAUAAAAAAGAGCACAAAAAACAUAAGAAACAUGCAACUUUGAAAACAGAGAAAACUAAGAAACAUAAGAAGCAUAAAAAACAUAAGAGGAAACAUUGUGAGUCAGAUGAGGAGGCUAAGGGAGAUAAAAAUGAUCGGUAUACACCAGAAUUAUCUCCACAAAUAGCUAAAGGUAAUGUUACUAAUGUAUCUAAUGGUAAAUCUUGUUCAGGAUCUUCUGAAAAACCGGUAGAAAUGGAGACUGAUGAGAUUGUUGAAUAUGUGACAUCGGGAUUAUCCAAAACUCAUUCCUUAGAGGUAAUUUCUUCUGAGAGUGAGGAACCAGUUGAAACAGAAUGUGACAGUGAUGCCAUUGAUGUGGCUGUUAUUGAAGCUGACAUGGACCUGGAAGAGCUCAUGAAGCAGAAAGAGAGAUUACAAGCUGAAAUUGCAAUGACUGCUGAUGCUGAUACAGGUGUAAAUGGGAAAGCCGAGACUAAAGUUGAUGAGGUCAUAUUACUAGAUGAUUCCAGUAAUGAGGCUCAACCAGUCAGAAAAAGAUAUCUUUCAGACAGUAAGGAUAGGAAAGUCGUGUGUGAGAAGAUUGAGACAAAAAAAAUGAAAUACACUGAAGAAAAAAGGUUAGAGAAGAAAGAAAGAGAGAAGAGAUCUCAAGAGUUGAGAAGAGAUAGGGAGAAGGAAAGAAGAUCCAGGUCCAGAGAUUAUCGUCGUUCAAGAGAGAGAGACGUAAGAAGGUCGUACGACAAUCAUGUCAGGGAUAAAGGAAGAAAUUCCAGAGAUCGCGCAUGUUCCAGAGAUAGAAGGGAUCGAAGAUAUAUAACUGACAAUAGGAGAUCAAGAUCCAGGGACUACAGGAAUUCUAGGGAUGAUUGUAGGAAAUACGAAAGUUACAGAAGAGAUAGAAGGUCUAGAUCUAGAGACAGGGACAACAAUAGAAGAAAUAGAAAUAAUAGAGAUAGGGGUCGACACAUGGAAAAACAAGAUAAAUAUAAAGAUUCCUUAAGUGAAGGUUUGAAGAAGCAGGAAAGCAGUAGUGACAGUGAAAUUGACUUGGAUAUUGAUUUGAAUGAUGAAGAGGAUGAGCAAGCGAUUAUUGAAAAGAGACGGAAGCAACGCGAAGAAUUAAUGAAGAGAUUGGGAGGUAACAGUGAAGACUCAAAUACAGCAAUAUCAUUAUUAACACCACCAGCUGAAACCAAGGAUGAUGCUAAACUGGAUGAAGAUGAUGUUGUUCCUGUAGAAGAAGAGGAAGAAGAAGUUGACCCUAAACCUAAUAGUGAUCCAUCAUUAACACCACCUUUGCUACCCACCAUGAAACUUAAAAAUAAUAACAAUGAAUGUUCCAAUCUAGAAAAUAAAGUAGAGAAGGAAAAAGAAAAACCGAAAAUUAACCAAUGGGAUAUGUUUGCUGAUCAGGAUAUCUUCAAGCAUACAAGUUCUCCAAGUACUAUAGUUCAAAAAGGAUCUGGCAACGAAAAUCCAGCGUUAACAGAUAAUUGGGACGAUGCUGAAGGUUACUACCGCGUUAGAAUUGGCGAAAUAUUAGAUACAAGGUAUAUGGUAUACGGUUACACUGGACAGGGAGUAUUUAGUAAUGUAGUGAGAGCUCGAGAUCAAGCAAGAGGAACCUCAGAUGUGGCAGUUAAAAUUAUAAGAAAUAAUGAAAUAAUGCACAAAACUGGAUUAAAGGAAUUGGAGAUUUUGAAAAAAUUGAAUGAUGCCGAUCCCGACGACAGAAUGCAUUGUUUAAGAUUAAUACGGCAUUUCUUUCAUAAGCAACAUUUGUGUAUGGUAUUUGAGCCUCUUUCCAUGAAUCUUAGAGAAGUUUUAAAGAAGUAUGGAAAAGAUGUGGGCCUUCAUAUAAAAGCUGUCAGGAGCUACACACAACAACUCUUGCUAGCACUCAAAUUAUUGAAGAAAACUGGAAUAUUGCAUGCUGAUAUCAAGCCAGAUAAUAUUUUGGUCAAUGAAAGCAAAUUGGUAUUAAAAUUGUGCGAUUUUGGAUCAGCAUCUACAGUAAGCGACAACGAAAUUACACCAUACUUGGUGUCCCGGUUCUAUCGUUCUCCUGAAAUUAUAUUGGGUAUUCCAUAUGAUUACGGAAUUGAUAUGUGGUCUGCUGCUUGCACCAUUUACGAGCUGUACACAGGACGGAUCCUAUUCUCUGGCAAAUCUAACAACCAAAUGCUUAAAUUCUUCAUGGAUGUAAAAGGCAAAAUGCCAAACAAAGUGAUUAGGAAGGGCGCAUUCAGGGAGCAACAUUUUGACGGGAAUUGCAAUUUUCUGUACCAUGAAAUAGAUAAAGUGACGGAACGAGAAAAAGUUGUUAUCAUGUCGAUGGUGAAAGCUACUCGAGAUUUGCAAACAGAACUGAUCGCUGGCCAGACGUUGCCGGCUGAUCAAUUGAAGAAAGUUACACAAUUGAAAGACUUGUUGGAUAAAGCACUUUCGAUGGAUCCAGCCAAACGAAUUGGAUUGAAUAAUGCUCUGACGCAUCCAUUUAUUCAAGACAAAAUUUGAUUUUGGGUUUUCUAGAGAAGCUGCAAUGGAUGCACACAUAGGGGUGUAUAAGCUUCAUGAAAAUAUUUUAUAAGCUCAGUUUAUGAAAGAAUGGGAAGAGUAUUAAGUACUGGUGGCCAGUAAAUGGAUAGUUUGAUAAUAUACAUAAGUACUAUGUUGAAUGUCUUCUGCAUACACACAAACAGUAGGUGUUAAGUCAGGUAAGUGUGCGUACAACUGGGUUCAGAAGAUGCAUUCCGUUGACAACGAGAGUUCAUUAGUGUAUAAAGACCGAUUUAAGGUAACCAAAGGCUACAUUUUUAGUCUUAUAUUUUCAUCCUUCGGUAAGCCAUAUAUUCACUUUCGUUUAACCUGAAUAUCAAAGUUGAAUAUUCUUAAUCUUAUUAAAGUAAAUAAAAUCGAUUCUUGGCCGCAUAAAUUGAAUAUCGCAUUUAAUUCA